UCAGCCCUUACUGGGACCAUACUUUAAAACUACAGGGGAGGUUUUGGCAGCACCCCAGGGUGCCUCCAGUUUUUCAGUAUGCUCCCAAGGAAAGGGCAAUGGGACUGGGCCAAGAGCAUCUGUUUGCAUUACGGACAGGCCGGUUUGGGAGGACAGGCUGCGGUGGCCUUCUGUGGGUCCACCAGACUGCAGCCCAACACAGGAAGCCAGAUCCACGUGCUCUUGUAGGCCACCAGGCACAUAAUGACUUCAUGGGCGUCACGGCGACCUGCAUGUCACAGCUCUUCCUCUACAAGCAAGCUAAUUAUCUUAAUGGCUGAAUUCUGUGCUCAAUUUUCCGUACAUGGAUCUUUAACAGAAGAGCCCAUAAGCAGGUCCACUUCCUGUCCUGAGAUGCCCUCCUCCUCUCCAGGCUGCCGCCUCUGAACUGGAGCUGAAGACAGAAGCUCGGCUGUGUUUGCAGAAGCCUGACGACGACGACGACGACAAGGGCUGGACAGGGACUGGGACAGUGAGGGAACUCUUAGGCAAUGCAGCCAACAGCUGCUCACCCCCUCUUCAGGGCUGCAGACAGAACGCUUGCCUAGCAUGGAGGAGACGUUUCCU